UCCUAUGGGGGGCAGCAGUGAGGAAUAUUGGUCAAUGGCCGGAAGGCUGAACCAGCCAAGCCGCGUGAAGGACGAAGGUGCCAAGCAUUGUAAACUUCUUUUGUCAAGGGACAAAAUCAGGCUCGAGAGCCUGACCGAGGGUACUUGAAGAAAAAGCAUCGGCUAACUCCGUGCCAGCAGCCGCGGUAAUACGGAGGAUGCGAGCGUUAUCCGGAUUUAUUGGGUUUAAAGGGUGCGUAGGCGGGCUGUUAAGUCAGCGGUAAAAUUGCGGGGCUCAACCCUGUCGAGCCGUUGAAACUGGCAGG
rnacentral:rRNA from 1 species